rnacentral:rRNA from 1 species
GUGGGGAAUAUUGGACAAUGGGCGAAAGCCUGAUCCAGCCAUGCCGCGUGUGUGAAGAAGGUCUUCGGAUUGUAAAGCACUUUAAGUUGGGAGGAAGGGUAGUAACCUAAUACGUUGCUACUUUGACGUUACCGACAGAAUAAGCACCGGCUAACUUCGUGCCAGCAGCCGCGGUAAUACGAAGGGUGCAAGCGUUAAUCGGAAUUACUGGGCGUAAAGCGCGCGUAGGUGGUUCGUUAAGUUGGAUGUGAAAGCCCCGGGCUCAACCUGGGAACUGCAUCCAAAACUGGCGAGCUAGAGUACGGUAGAGGGUGGUGGAAUUUCCUGUGUAGCGGUGAAAUGCGUAGAUAUAGGAAGGAACACCAGUGGCGAAGGCGACCACCUGGACUGAUACUGACACUGAGGUGCGAAAGCGUGGGGAGCAAACAGGAUUAGAAACCCGAGUAGUCC